GGAGGCAUAGUUCAGCUGGGAGAGCAUCUGCAUCACACGCAGGGGGUCACAGGUUCGAGUCCUGUUGUCUCCA
rnacentral:tRNA from 1 species